CUGAUCUGUUAAAACAAGACAAUCGCCUGCAGAGCCUGGCUGAGAAUGAUCAGUAGUGGUGCUGUGUGACUGAGAGCUGUGCCCUGCAAUAUAUUAAUGACUAUUUUAUUAACUAAACAUACAUGUGAAAAAACAAAACAUAAGAUAUCACCAACAUAAAAUAAACAAAGUAUGAACAUUUCAUUUUUUUGGUGGUAGCGUCCCUUUAGGCAUCAAACUUCUAGCACAAACUGCAUGCAUUGUCCCCAAAAUAUUAUAGAAUAUCUUAAUAUUUAGAUCUG